AUCACCUCAGUGUACUCACUGAAAAUGCAGAUAUCUUGGCUCCACUCCCAGCAGUUCUGGGAGGUACUUACUGUGUGAGGUCUGGACAAACCUUGAGAAGCGUUGCACAUUGUCUUCCUAGAAAAGGCACAUGUGCGCACACACUUCCAAUUUUACCAGUGACUCUAAGGGAAAGUUUCAGAAUCCUGUGGCUUUAGUCUGGUACAAUUUUUCUCAAGACUGGCUACAUAUCACAAUAACCGAGGGAGUUUUAAAACAAUAUUCCAGACCAAUUAAAUCAUAAUAUGAGUGGUAUAGGGUGACUAAACUGCAUGUUUUUUUUCCCCCAACCUGGAAUGGAGACUAGAGAUUUUUCCCAAUGUAUCAAUCUAUUUUACUGAAUUAGACUCACUUGACAGAUACCUAGCAAAAGUGAUAACACAAAGAAGCCCAGUUACGCUGUAAAUCUUACAAAAUACACAGUUUAAUUUGUGUAUUGGUGAGAAGGCUCAUCACUUUUGGCAUUGAUUUGUCUUUUUCUCUUCAAAGGUUCAAAGGAUUUAGUGGACUUUGUACUCUGUUUGAUAGAUAGCCCUCCCAAGCAUGAGAGAAGAAAAGAAGGCUCUUCUUAUAAUUUAUGGCGGCAAAGGUAGUGUUUAUUGUGAUUUCAGUUGAUGAACAUCUAAGAAAAUAUGCGGAACUGCAAAUUGACACUGAACUGCGAGAUCCCUGAGGAUGCUGCUGCCAGGUAUGUAUGGCUUUGUACAGCCCCCUCUGGUGUCCCCCAAAGUGGCUGGGACACCGUGAGUGAUACUCUUAGGCUAGGCUUCUCCUCCGUCAGAAAAUAAGUGGGAGGGAGGUUGACCAUCCUUUCCCUGGAGAUGGCUACUCUUCAGGUAGGGUUGUUUCCAUUUAUUAACUGCUUAUUUCUUUUCACAUUAUUUUGAAGAGUAAAUUUGUUGUAAAUGACAGAAGUAAUAUCACUACAUUACAGAAAAUUGUAGGCAUAAAAAUCAUUCCUGUCAUUCCUACAUGAAUACACCUGCCCUUUUUUAUAUGCAUUUUUAUAUGCAUGUUUAAUGUAUUUCUAAUGAUAGUGUAUUUGAAUAUUAUAUUUUAAAGAUUAUGAUGUUUCAUUCUAAGCAUUUUUUCUUGUUAAAUCAUCCUCAUAAAUGUUAUUGUGAUUCCAAAACUUUUCCACUAUUUUUCUUGUUAUUAUUUAUUAGAUACACCAUUGUUAAUUCCUCAUUGGUAUUUAAUGGAUAUACCACUAUUUAUUUCCUCAUUGUUGUCUCUCAGAUAUACCAUUAUUUAUUUGGCUAUUUUCUUGAGGUCUCCCACUGAUGAUUAAAUGAUUAGGUGACUGUUAGCUUAGGAAAUCUGCUUCUUUGAACUCAGUUUGAUAAAGGUCAUUAUCAUCAUCAUCUAGCAUAGCUGGGUCACAGUUGGUAUUUGGUAAAUGUUGGUUUUCUUCCUUCUUCUCUUUUCCCCUUCUUUAUGCCAAACUUAGGGUUGUUUCUUAUAUUGCAAACCUGAGGGUAUAGCAUAUAUUUUAUCUGGAGAUUUCUAACUGCUUAUUAUGAAAGUUUGCCUUGGCCAUUUCAAUGAGGAUUUCUAAUUUGAUCACAGGGGUUUAGUUUUCUUUAUAUCAUUUUUUCAGGUAUAUUGAUUCAUUCUUUCCAGUCAAAAUGUUAGAGCUACGGAUUGUGGAAAUCACCUUAUCCAGUGGUUUUCCAACUGGUGCACAUUGGAAUUUUGCAGAGUACUUAAGAAUACUGAUUCCUUACUAAUUCUUAAUUUGGUAGAUGAGAAUUGGGAAUCUACAUUUUAAAAAGCAUUCCUGUGUUCUGAUUCAAGUAGUAAAAGGACCAUAAUUUGAAGUUAUCAUUUGGUUGGUAAACUUUACAAACUUCUUAGUGUUAAUGUUAGAUUUUUUGUCAUGUUCAGUUUUUUUCUUUUAAAACUAAUUGAGUCUUGAGAUGACUUAUUUCAGGAGACAAAUAUUAUAAUCACAAUUAUGUUCUGAACAGGAAGUAAGCUCUAAAUGAAUCUUAACAUUUUACUUGACACAUUACUGUGUUUAAGUGUAUCAAAGAUGUCAUUGAAAGGUACAGUGGAGGAAAAUGAACUUGAUUUGGCAGGUAGGUGUGCAUGGUACUAUUAUCCACAACUGUCUAUGCCGAUUGACAGCACACACAUUACCUCUUAACAGGCAUUGUACUCAGUUGCAUCAGAUUUAAGUGUAUGGCAUCUUUCCUGAAUAUUUGAAACUGUUUUAGUUAAUAGUAUUAAUUGUGCAUAGCCCAACUUUCAGCCACUGUUUCAAAGUGUUUAAUGGAUAAUAAACCAAAAGGUUCUAUGGUCCUCUGCUUAGAGUAAAUUUAGGUCAACAAUGCCAUGUUGCUUAAGUAUUAUGUAUUUUGAGCAAGGCAAAUGUUUACUAGUUCAGAGAAGGACUCUUCUUCAUAUUGUAAAUUGGAAAAUCAAAACUCAGGGAUGAAGUGUUCUAGGUCAUUCAGCCACAAGGAACAGAGUCAGAACAGGUCUUCUGGAUCCUUAUUCUCUGCCAUGCCAAACUGCCUUUUUUUGCAUAGUUUCUACCUAAUGAGAAACACUUAGUCUAAUGUCUGGUAGAGAUGCUAUAGUCCAUUCUUAUAUUGCAAAGAGCAUAGAAGCAAGGAAUUCUACUCAGUGUUUUCUUUUGGAAAACCAAACAUGCUUUAUUUCAUUUUUUUUCACAAUUUAUUUAAACAUCUCACAUAUACAAAAUAGGUACAAUUUAGUUUCUCUGCUUGUCUGAGAAACAAGGCUUCUUUGGUACCAUGGAAGAGGAUGAAAACAAGGCUGGCAAAGAACAAAUGCUGAAUUUAAAGGAGAGGACAAUGUUGGGCAAAGGAUCUGCAUACUUUUAUUUGGGGGUAAGAUGUAAAAUAAUGAUGCUAAAUCAAAUAAAAAAUACAGAAUACAGCUCCAAACAGAGGAGUAUUUCUUCUCAAAGUCUUCUAGCACCAUCAACAUUCUUCAAGUAUCUGAAAUACAAUUAAUUAGCACCUUUGUGUUUUGAACAAACAGAAGCACCUCAGCUCAUCUCUGUCUAGGUCAGCACCUAAUGGUGUGGAUCACACUCAUAGGAAAGUGUUUGAGGUAGUUUUAAACCUUUGGAAGUUUGGUUUUUAAACUUCCCUCUGUGGAAGAUAUUCAGAAGCCACAAGUGGUGCAAAUGUUCAUGGUUUUUAUUUUAUUUUUCAAUUUUUAUUUUGGUUUUCUUACAAAGGUUGACAUUUUCCACAACAGGUGUAAAAGUGUUGAAAAAAAUUCCAAAUCUUUUGGGGAGGAGAAGAGGGAGAGGGAAUUAAUUGAAUUGUAUUGCACAAUGCUCUGAUCAAUCUUUCUCCUUCUCUUUUGCCCACAAUUUAAGCAAGUAGAUGUGCAGAAGAAAUGGAAGGAUUCAGCUUUCAGUUAAAAAAGAAGAAAAAGAAAUGGCAAAGAGAGAAAGUUUUUUUCAGAUUUCUUUUUUUCUUUUAAUUUAGGUUGAGUUCAUUUAUUUGAAA